rnacentral:rRNA from 1 species
GUAGAUUAUCUGCCCUCGGGUCCGGGAUAGCUGCGGGAAACUGCAGGUAAUACCGGAUAACAUCUCCGGAUCAAAGGUGUGAUUCCGCCCGAGGAUGAGUCUACAUCCUAUUAGCUAGUUGGUAGGGUAAUGGCCUACCAAGGCGAUGAUGGGUAGCGGGUGUGAGAGCACGACCCGCGUCAUUGGGACUGAGACACUGCCCAGACACCUACGGGUGGCUGCAGUCGAGAAUCUUCGGCAAUGGGCGCAAGCCUGACCGAGCGACGCCGCGUGUGGGAUGAAGGCCUUCGGGUUGUAAACCACUGUCAGAGGGGAUGAAAUGCAGGUGGGUUCUCCCAUCUGUUUGACAUAGCCUCAGAGGAAGGACGGGCUAAGUUCGUGCCAGCAGCCGCGGUAAGACGAACCGUCCGAACGUUAUUCGGAAUCACUGGGCUUAAAGGGUGCGUAGGCGGCGCGGAAAGUUGGGUGUGAAAUCCCUCGGCUCAACCGAGGAACUGCGCCCAAAACUGCCGUGCUC